rnacentral:snRNA from 1 species
AGUUUUGUGCAGUGGCAGUAUCGUAGCCAAUGAGGUUUAUCCAAGACACGAUUAUUGCUAAUUGAAAAUUUUUCCCAAUACCCUGCCAUGACAGCUUGAAAUAUAGUCAGCAUUGGCAAUUUUUGACAGUCUCUAAGGAGA